ensembl:lncRNA
UGAUGAUUUAGGAUGCUUCUGGCACCUUGAUUGCAGUCAGAGGCAUUUACCUAACAGCUAUAUGAGGGGAAAAAUAGAAAAACAAAACUCAACAAAUGUGAUGUUCAUGGCCCUAAGAUCCUUAAGCAUUGCAUGAUUUCUCUUACUUUGUUUUUCCGAAAUUGAGCAGAAAGGAAACACUGUAAAAACAAAUAUAUGUUGCAUUAAUCAGGACAUAACUAAUAUUCUCCUAGUCAGCAUAGCACGUAAUUACCUGCUAAAGCAACAUGGAUCUGAUCUCCAACACAGGAAAAUUUUCACCUCCAUUUUAUUUUAUACAAAUAAAUUUAGCUUUUAACAAUUAUUAUUUGGUUAGAUACUGAAUCUCUGUACAUGACUGUAAAUGCGGAGUUUUGCUUUUCCACAUAAGAGAAGUGGAAAGGGGAAUUUACUGAAAAAUUAUUUAAUAGGGAGUAGGAAUAAAGCUACCUAAGGCCUAUCAGCAGGUUACAAGUUCAAGUGCAUUGCUUUAACCCACAUGUACUCAUAUUUGGUUACUUGUAUUAAAAUUGAGGGGAAGAGUAUCCUAUUAGAAAAUAGUGGGAAGGGGGAUUGUGAAAACACUUCAAUAGAAUGCCAUUGUGGCUGUUAUCUUUGUUUUAGAGCCAAGCAUAUAAAGAAGCCUGUCUUUAAACCACAAUUCAACUCUACACUUCAUGACAUGUUAUAAAAGCUGAAUGGUUGGUCUUGGUAAGGAUAUUUGUUUACAAGUGCCAGAAAAUAGUAGCUGUUUGAUAACCUGCAUUAAUAGAUUUCCUUUUGCCUACAGAAGGAAAAUAAAAAUAACCAAAGGAUAUUUCUAGAAAGGAUUAAGAAAGCUGUUUAAGAAGGCCAUGACUCAGUCCUUAGCUGUGUACACUUUUCAACAUCUUAGAAAUUUUAAUAUAAAAAGCAUAAUUUGUUUUUCCUAUUGCAGCCUACUUUUGGAAAGUACUAUUUUUCCCUUUUGUCACAGUUAAAAUCAAGUGUUGG